UUCGCGUUCUCAUGAAAAAGUGGUAGUGUUAAAUCAACUUUGCAAGCAGAAGGACGCGUCGGUGCGUGCUCGUUUUUUCUCGUGAAACCACUACGGAAAAACUAUUUGCAAAUCGUAACACACGCACGAACGGAAGUAAGCACGGACCACGAUAGAAGCAAUAUUCUAUUGGUUGAAGUGCCGAAAACAACAGAACAGGAGAAGAAAGAAGGCAGGAACGAUCCUCCGACGUGCUACCGCCUGGUAGAGGAGAAGCAGCAGGAAGGUAGGGACGAUCAUCCAGCGCGCUAGCACAGCAUGUGGGAGCAGCGAGAGGGAGGCAAGCAGGAAGAAUUUUUAACGUGUGGACACCAUUCGACGAAGACAACGCCGGAUGAAAGGAAGAACGAGGAAAGAAGGCAGGCAAGACGGGAACCGUAGUUUCUCGUAAGAUGGUACAUAAUACACCAAUAAAGCUUUUUCGAUGUCUACUAGUAAGUUUACAUUGGUAAAAGUAUUGCAAUCAGAGGAAAACCUUAAGGUGUCGAAACUACCCCCAGUUCCCCUACGUGUGUAGAACUUUCGGCAGUGUGAAUUGUGCACCGGUUUUCGGCAGUGUGAAUUGUGUGAGUAUGUAAAUAUGUAUGUGCGAGUAAGAAGGUAAAAUAAAGAGCGUAAGCAUGUGCAGAAUGGACAAAUGAGAGUAAGAGUCUUUGUAGGGAGAAUGAAGAGAAUGAAAGAAAUUGAGAAGGGAUGUAGCAUACAGAAACCAAAUGUAUGAUACACGCUGUCGCACGGUUGGAAAAACCUUCUCUAUAGUUCUGCUAUCGAGAACGAUUUGACCGCACUAUAGAGAACACUUUUUCAAUACAAAAAAAAAACUGGUUGCAACGUGACAAUGUCGGUUGGGAUGUUUCCGAGCAACAACCUGCUUGGCAAAGAGUAACUCAUUUUUAUUGCCUCUCGCCACCCCUGGCCUUAGUUUUGAAGGAAUCAUGCGACACACUCGCACUCCACUACCCCAUCCCAUGGAAAAACGCUCCCACCAUCGAGGUGUUGACCAAAAUUUCGCUGUGUGCAUGAGACACACACUCGCACUCCUCCAGCCCUCCACAGCUGAACGCACCCACCGUUGCGAAGAUGGGAGAAUUUUUGCUCUGAGCGUGAGACCCUGAAACGCAAGAGAUGACACUAUGUGUAAAGACGAUC